GUCUGACCAGACAUAGAGGGAACGAACAAGAGUGCUGCAAAUUGAAGCCGGAGGAAACGAAGUUGAUCGAAGUGGAAAAAGACGAUAUAUAAAAAGGUGUGGGACAUUCCAAAUGUUCCAAAAGUGAGCACUCCACGAAUGGACAACAGUUUGCAGGACCUCUCAGGCACCCACAACCAGCGUCUGAUCGGGAUGGAGCACCAACCCCAUUCCAGGAAGAGGUCCAGUCUGCCCCGGGUCAGAACCACUUCUACAGCAACUACACAACUGUGUAUGCACUUAUCAUUAUUGAUAGCCAGUCUGAGCCAGAAGACACAAUGGAGCAAA